rnacentral:miRNA from 1 species
UUUCCCAUCUUUUUCUCUUCAG